rnacentral:rRNA from 1 species
AUGACGGAGCGGCGAACGGGUGAGUAACACGUGGGCAACCUGCCCCUAGCUCUGGGAUAAGCCCGGGAAACCGGGUCUAAUACCGGAUAUGAAGUCGAAAGGCAUCUUUUGACUUGGAAAGUUUUUCGGCUAGGGAUGGGCCCGCGGCCUAUCAGCUUGUUGGUGAGGUAACGGCCCACCAAGGCGACGACGGGUAGCCGGCCUGAGAGGGCGACCGGCCACACUGGGACUGAGACACGGCCCAG